UUUCCGUAGGUGAACCUGCGGAAGGAUCAUUACAGAGUUCAUGCCCUCACGGGUAGAUCUCCCACCCUUGAAUAUUUAUACCUUAGUUGCUUUGGCAGGCCGUGGAAACACCAUGGGCUCCGGCUUAUGCGUGUCUGCCAGAGGAAACAAACUCUGUUUUUAGUGAUGUCUGAGUACUAUAUAAUAGUUAAAACUUUCAACAACGGAUCUCUUGGUUCUG
rnacentral:misc_RNA from 1 species